rnacentral:rRNA from 1 species
GUGGGGAAUAUUGGACAAUGGGCGAAAGCCUGAUCCAGCCAUGCCGCGUGUGUGAAGAAGGUCUUCGGAUUGUAAAGCACUUUAAGUUGGGAGGAAGGGCAGUAAGUUAAUACCUUGCUGUUUUGACGUUACCGACAGAAUAAGCACCGGCUAACUUCGUGCCAGCAGCCGCGGUAAUACGAAGGGUGCAAGCGUUAAUCGGAAUUACUGGGCGUAAAGCGCGAGUAGGUGGUUUUGUAAGUUGGAGGUGAAAGCCCCGGGCUCAACCUGGGAGAUGCCUCCAAAACUGCAUGACUAGAGUACGGUAGAGGGUAGUGGAAUUUCCUGUGUAGCGGUGAAAUGCGUAGAUAUAGGAAGGAACACCAGUGGCGAAGGCGACUACCUGGACUGAUACUGACACUGAGGUGCGAAAGCGUGGGGAGCAAACAGGAUUAGAAACCCGUGCAGUCC